UGUCCUUUAGCAAUAAUCCUAUCGAACAACUCUCCACCAGCGCAAAGCUCCAUGACCAAAUGCACAGAAUGUUUAUCCUCAUAAGCUCCUUUAAGCUCAACAAUGUUUGGCUGACCGGUCAUGUGAUGCAUUAUCUGCACUUCCCUUCUUACAUCCUCAAUGUCUUCUUUGUUCACAAGCUUCCUUUUGGCAAUGGUCUUGCAAGCGAACUGCUGACCUGUUGCCUUCUGCGUGCAGAGGUCGACCUAAGACAGGUCCUAUAGGGCCUUGCUUUGUUGCGGGAGGAGGAGAAGGAGGGGCGUGUUUGGAUUGUGGUACGGAAGGUUCAGCAGUUGAAGCGGUAAUGCCCUUGUCUUGUGUGUAUCCAUCUGCGUUAUCGGCUGAGUCCCGUCCUUGAGAACAACAGUUUCCCAUUGUUGCGGUGGGGGAGAGGAAGGAGGUAACAAGCUCAAGGAGGAAGAGAGAUCGAAAGGGUUUUUUUUUGUGUGUUUUUAUUCUCUUAGUAUCAUUUUUUUUUCUUCCUCUGGUUUUUGUUUCUUCUAGAGCAAGAAAUCGUUAGGUGUUUUUGGUUGUCAAAUGGCUAUGAAUAGAAUGUUUUU